rnacentral:rRNA from 1 species
UGCAUAUCAAUAAGCGGAGGAAAAGAAACUAACCAGGAUUCCCCUAGUAACGGCGAGUGAAGCGGGAAAAGCUCAAAUUUGUAAUCUGGCGCCUUGGGCGUCCGAGUUGUAAUCUCGAGAAGUAUUUUCCGCGCUGGACCGCACAUAAGUCUGUUGGAAUACAGCGUCAUAGUGGUGAGAACCCCGUAUAGGGUGCGGAUGCCCAGUGCUUUGUGAUAUACUUUCGAAGAGUCGAGUUGUUUGGGAAUGCAGCUCAAAUGGGGUGGUAAAUUCCAUCUAAAGCUAAAUAUUGGCGAGAGACCGAUAGCGAACAAGUACCGUGAGGGAAAGAUGAAAAGCACUUUGGAAAGAGAGUUAACAGUACGUGAAAUUGUUGGAAGGGAAACGCUUGAAGUCAGACUUGCUUUUUGGAGUUCAGCCGCAAGGUGUAUUCUUCAAUUUGCAGGCCAGCAUCAGUUUUUGGGGGUGGAAAAGCGUGGUUGGAAGGUAGCAGUCUCGGCUGUGUUAUAGCUAUCCACUGGAUUCACUUUUGGGGACUGAGGAAUGCAGUACGCUUUUUGCAAGAUUCUAGGGUCUUUCGUACUUAGGAUGCUGGUGGAAUGGCUUUAAACGACCCGUCUUGAAACACGGACCA